rnacentral:rRNA from 1 species
CCGAACCGACACCCGUUGAAAAGGGUCCGGAUGACGUGUGGCUAGGGGUGAAAGGCCAAUCAAAUCUGGAGAUAGCUGGUUCUCCGCGAAAGCUAUUUAGGUAGCGCGUCGAUUGUAUUCUCCCGGGGGUAGAGCACUGCAUGGAUGAUGGGGGCCCACAGCCUUACUGAGUCUAAGCAAACUCCGAAUACCGGGAAGAACUGAUCGGCAGACACACGGCGGGUGCUAACGUCCGUCGUGGAGAGGGAAACAACCCUGACCAACAGCUAAGGCCCCCAAUUCGUGGCUAAGUGGGAAAGCAUGUGGGACUUCCAAAACAACCAGGAGGUUGGCUUAGAAGCAGCCAUCCUUUAAAGAUAGCGUAACAGCUCACUGGUCUAGUCAAGAGGUCCUGCGGCGAAGAUGUAACGGGGCUCAAGCCACGAGCCGAAGCUUUGGAUGCACAGUGAUGUGCGUGGUAGCGGAGCGUUCUGUGAUAUAGAACGCUGCCUCCUUACGCUCUUCGGAGCUAUUGGAGGCAAUGUUCUGACUGUGAAGCCGGGCUGUAAGGCAUCCGGUGGAGUGAUCAGAAGUGAGAAUGUUGACAUGAGUAGCGACAAACAGGGUGAGAGACCCUGUCGCCGAAAGUCCAAGGGUUCCUGCUUAAAGCUAAUCUGAGCAGGGUAAGCCGCGGCAAAAUGCCUCCGUAAGUUCGCGAGAAGGAGGCCCCAUUCGCACGCAAGUGUGGGUGGGGGGCACAAACCAGGGGGUGGCGACUGUUUACUUAAAACACAGGGCUGUGCGAAGCCGUAAGGCGACGUAUACAGUCUGACGCCUGCCCGGUGCCGGAAGGUUAAAAGGAGGUGUGCAAGCACCGAAUUGAAGCCCCGGUAAACGGCGGCCGUAACUAUAACGGUCCUAAGGUAGCGAAAUUCCUUGUCGGGUAAGUUCCGACCUGCACGAAUGGCGUAACGAACCUUUACUAUAGCUUCGCACUGGCAUCAGGAUUGUGAUGUGCAGGAUAGGUGGUAGGCUUUGAAACCAGAACGCCAGUUUUGGUGGAGCCUCCCUUGAGAUACCACCCUUCGCACUCUUGAUGUCUAACCGCGGCCCGUUAUCCGGGUCCGGGACCCUGCGUGGUGGGUAGUUUGACUGGGGCGGUCGCCUCCCAAAGUGUAACGGAGGCGCGCGAAGGUUGGCUCAGAGCGGUCGGAAAUCGCUCGUUGAGUGCAAUGGCAGAAGCCAGCCUGACUGCAAGACUGACAAGUCGAGCAGAGACGAAAGUCGGCCAUAGUGAUCCGGUGGUCCCGAGUGGAAGGGCCAUCGCUCAACGGAUAAAAGGUACUCUGGGGAUAACAGGCUGAUGAUGCCCAAGAGUCCAUAUCGACGGCAUCGUUUGGCACCUCGAUGUCGGCUCAUCUCAUCCUGGGGCUGGAGCAGGUCCCAAGGGUAUGGCUGUUCGCCAUUUAAAGAGGUACGUGAGCUGGGUUUAGAACGUCGUGAGACAGUUCGGUCCCUAUCUGCCGUGGGUGUAGGAUACUUGAGAAGAGUUGCCCCUAGUACGAGAGGACCGGGGUGAACGGACCACUGGUGGACCAGUUAUCGUGCCAACGGUAGUGCUGGGUAGCUAUGUCCGGACAGGAUAACCGCUGAAAGCAUCUAAGCGGGAAGCCCCCUUCAAAACUAGGUAUCCCUUGAGGGCCGUGGAAGACCACCACGUCGAUAGGCUGGAGAUGUAAGCGCGGCAACGCGUUCAGUUGACCAGUACUAAUUGCCCGAUUGGCUUGAUUUG